rnacentral:lncRNA from 1 species
GAUGCACUCAGCAGAAAAAGUGCAGGUAUCUUAGCCCAUUUGAUGGUUUCAAAAUGCAAGCAAAUUGGGGCCGCACAACAGGUUCGACUUUAGAACUUGAGGAGAGCCAUAUGUUUGGGCAAUCUGACCGUUCAGCCUGAGUUAAUCCAGAGAAUAAGGAAAAAUCAGUCAGCUGAUCCCGCCCUAGUAGCCCUCAAGAACG